rnacentral:rRNA from 1 species
UAAACUGGGAUUAGAUACCCCAUUAUUUUAAAUUAUAAAUUGAUUUUUUUUUCUACCUAAGUAUUAUGAAUUGUGGUUUAAAAUUUAAAGGACUUGGCGGUAUCCUAGACUACUUAGGGGAACCUGUAUUUUAAUCGAUAUUCCUCGUUUUACCUUACCUUUUUUUGUUUUCAGUUUGUAUACCGUCGUCGUCAGUUAACUUUUAGAGGAUAUAUAAGUUGUCUUUUUAGAUUUUAAUCUUAAACGUCAGAUCAAGGUGCAGCUUAUAAAUUGGUAGAUAUGGGUUACAAUUAUGUAUUUAUAAUUAUGAAUAAUUUUAUGGAAUUAUUAUUUGAAAGAGGACUUAAAAGUAAUUUAAUUUAGAUAUAUUUGAUGAAUAUAGCUCUUGGAUGUGUACACACCGCCCGUCACCCUCA